GUCUACGGCCAUGCCACCCUGAACACGCCUGAUCCCGUCUGAUCUCGGAAGCUAAACAGGGUCAGGCCUGCUUAGUCCCUGGAAGGGAGACCAUCUAGGAAGACCUGGUGCUGUAGGCG
rnacentral:rRNA from 1 species